rnacentral:rRNA from 1 species
CGAGCGGUAACAGGGGUAGCUUGCUACCCGCUGACAAGCGGCGGACGGGUGAGUAAUGCAUAGGAAUCUGCCCGGUAGUGGGGGAUAACCUGGGGAAACCCAGGCUAAUACCGCAUACGUCCUACGGGAGAAAGGGGGCUCCGGCUCCCGCUAUUGGAUGAGCCUAUGUCGGAUUAGCUAGUUGGUGAGGUAAUGGCUCACCAAGGCGACGAUCCGUAGCUGGUCUGAGAGGAUGAUCAGCCACAUCGGGACUGAGACACGGCCCGAACUCCUACGGGAGGCAGCAGUGGGGAAUAUUGGACAAUGGGCGAAAGCCUGAUCCAGCCAUGCCGCGUGUGUGAAGAAGGCCCUCGGGUUGUAAAGCACUUUCAGCGAGGAAGAACGCCUAGUGGUUAAUACCCACUAGGAAAGACAUCACUCGCAGAAGAAGCACCGGCUAACUCCGUGCCAGCAGCCGCGGUAAUACGGAGGGUGCAAGCGUUAAUCGGAAUUACUGGGCGUAAAGCGCGCGUAGGUGGCUUGAUAAGCCGGUUGUGAAAGCCCCGGGCUCAACCUGGGAACGGCAUCCGGAACUGUCAAGCUAGAGUGCAGGAGAGGAAGGUAGAAUUCCCGGUGUAGCGGUGAAAUGCGUAGAGAUCGGGAGGAAUACCAGUGGCGAAGGCGGCCUUCUGGACUGACACUGACACUGAGGUGCGAAAGCGUGGGUAGCAAACAGGAUUAGAUACCCUGGUAGUCCACGCCGUAAACGAUGUCGACCAGCCGUUGGGUGCCUAGCGCACUUUGUGGCGAAGUUAACGCGAUAAGUCGACCGCCUGGG